rnacentral:rRNA from 1 species
GAUGAACGCUGGCGGCGUGCCUAAUACAUGCAAGUCGAGCGAACAGACGAGGAGCUUGCUCCUCUGACGUUAGCGGCGGACGGGUGAGUAACACGUGGAUAACCUACCUAUAAGACUGGGAUAACUUCGGGAAACCGGAGCUAAUACCGGAUAAUAUAUUGAACCGCAUGGUUCAAUAGUGAAAGACGGUUUUGCUGUCACUUAUAGAUGGAUCCGCGCCGCAUUAGCUAGUUGGUAAGGUAACGGCUUACCAAGGCAACGAUGCGUAGCCGACCUGAGAGGGUGAUCGGCCACACGAGAACGUAGACACGGUCCAGGCUCCUACGGGAGGCAGCAGUAGGGAAUCUUCCGCAAUGGGCGAAAGCCUGACGGAGCAACGCCGCGUGAGUGAUGAAGGUCUUCGGAUCGUAAAACUCUGUUAUUAGGGAAGAACAAAUGUGUAAGUAACUAUGCACGUCUUGACGGUACCUAAUCAGAAAGCCACGGCUAACUACGUG